rnacentral:misc_RNA from 1 species
GAAAUGCGAUACGUAAUGCGAAUUGCAGAAUUCAGUGAAUCAUCGAAUCUUUGAACGCAACUUGCGCUCUCAUUUGCGUGGGAGCAUGCCUCUUUCAGUAUCGGUUCCAUCUCACUCGCGUGUGCCUCUUUGAGUGCGCGCGCGGAAACUGAGGCGCGCUGUGCGCUACACGCACAGCGCCCUUGAAGUGUCCAGUGGAGUUUGUCGUGCUCGCUGAGAAAGUGACGUGGGUAACCGAAAAACGCACACACAUGUCAUCUUUCGUUUGCAGGCGAGCUGUAACACAAGCGUACGGUGUGCUGUGCGUGCAAACAAACACGCACAAGCACACCAAAACACACUACCAUCUCGAUCUGAAAUGAGGCAAGAACACCCGCUGAAUUUAA